rnacentral:rRNA from 1 species
CUAUACAUGACUCUGCGCAUAUCAAUAAGCGGAGGAAAAGAAACUAACAAGGAUUCCCCUAGUAACGGCGAGUGAAGCGGGAAGAGCUCAAAUUUGAAAUCUUAAAGGGUUUCCCUUUACGAAUUGUAGUUUAAAGAAGUGUUUUCUGUUGAGGUUUUGGUAAAAGUUCUUCGGAAUAGGACAUCAUAGAGGGUGAGAAUCCCGUAUUUGACCUUUACUUUCAACUUUGUGAUACACUUUCAAAGAGUCGGAUUGUUUGGGAAUGCAGUCCAAAAUGGGUGGUAAAUUUCAUCUAAAGCUAAAUAUUGGCGAGAGACCGAUAGCGAACAAGUACCGUGAGGGAAAGAUGAAAAGAACUUUGAAAAGAGAGUUAAACAGUACGUGAAAUUGUCAAAAGGGAAGCGUUUGACACCAGUGUUGUUUUUCUGAAAAUCAAUUAAAGAACUGUUUAUGCUAAGUUGUUUAGACUUUAUCAGCUAACUGUUUAGUUUUGAGCUUUUCUUUAAUGCACUUUUCAGUUAACAAGUCAACAUCAAUUUCUUUUGCUGUAAAAAAGCUUGAGGAAGGUGGCUUGAGAUUCGUCUUAAGUGUUUAUAGCCUCUUGCCUAUGCAGUCGGAGAGAUUGAGGUCUGCAGCGUAGAUCCUUCGGGGCUAAAUGCAUUUGUGCUAAGUUAUAGCAUUUUAUAGACAACUUGUUGACUAUGAUUUGUCUUGUAGCUUACUCGCUUAUGUUAUUUUACCUACGCUUAGGAUGUUGACAGCAGUAUAGACUGU